UUAGCGGCGGACGGGUGAGUAACACGUAGGCAACCUGCCCUCAAGACUGGGAUAACUACCGGAAACGGUAGCUAAUACCGGAUAAUUAAAUUCGCUGCAUGGCGGAGUUAUGAAAGGCGGAGCAAUCUGUCACUUGAGGAUGGGCCUGCGGCGCAUUAGCUAGUUGGUGAGGUAACGGCUCACCAAGGCGACGAUGCGUAGCCGACCUGAGAGGGUGAACGGCCACACUGGGACUGAGACACGGCCCAGACUCCUACGGGAGGCAGCAGUAGGGAAUCUUCCGCAAUGGGCGAAAGCCUGACGGAGCAACGCCGCGUGAGUGAUGAAGGUUUUCGGAUCGUAAAGCUCUGUUGCCAGGGAAGAACGUCUCAUAGAGUAACUGCUAUGAGAGUGACGGUACCUGA
rnacentral:rRNA from 1 species